UAGGGAAUCUUCCGCAAUGGACGCAAGUCUGACGGAGCAACGCCGCGUGAGUGAAGAAGGAUUUCGGUUCGUAAAACUCUGUUGUUAGAGAAGAACAGCGCAUAGAGUAACUGUUAUGCGUGUGACGGUAUCUAACCAGAAAGCCACGGCUAACUACGUGCCAGCAGCCGCGGUAAUACGUAGGUGGCAAGCGUUGUCCGGAUUUAUUGGGCGUAAAGCGAGCGCAGGCGGUCAAUUAAGUCUGAUGUGAAAGCCCCCGGCUCAACCGGGGAGGGUCAUUGGAAACUGGUUGACUUGAGUGCAGAAGAGGGGAGUGGAAUUCCAUGUGUAGCGGUGAAAUGCGUAGAUAUAUGGAGGAACACCAGUGGCGAAGGCGACUCUCUGGUCUGUAACUGACGCAGAGGCUCGAAAGCGUGGGUAGCAAACAGG
rnacentral:rRNA from 1 species